rnacentral:lncRNA from 1 species
UCUACAGACCACACAGACUGUUAACCCACUCACUGAGAGGUAACAAAGUCUCCCUUUGAUUUUUCUUGACUAAAGUACGGAAAUCAAACAAUUCUAAGAGCAUCUCCAGCACUAAACAUGAGCUUCACUCAUUGCAGACCUCCUUCAACCUCAGCUGGACACUGGAUAUACAGGAGUUUCUUUCUGUCAGCAUAUUUAAGACUAAAAGUAAAUAAGAACGGGACCAACUUGGCUAGAAUAAAACCAUUUAUUUGCUCAAGCAACAUUUCAAGAACACCUGAACAGCUAUUUUGGAAAUAUGCUGAUAUCUCCAUUCAGCCUUCCACGUCUGUUAUCCACCUUCAGAAAAGCACUGAAAGAUACCCAUCAAUCCAUAAGUGGGAUGUACUGAAGCAGGUCUCAACAGGCUAUGUCAAACAGCCCAAAGUAACCUUGCUGUCUGGGAACAGUAACUUCGUGUAUCACCAUCUUCCAGAAGAAAACUAUAAAUAA